AUGGUAAGCGAACUUGUCGCUGGUGGUUUCGUAAUGGAAUCAUGAGAGGAAAGUCUGGACCACAUAGAGCACCAUACUUCCUAACGGGAAGCUGUUGUGAAGCAUGAUUAGCGUGACAGAAAAUAACCGCCAGCCUUCGGGUUGGUAAGGGUGAAAAGGUGGGGUAAGAGCCUACCGAGCAAGUAGUGAUACAUUGCUGCCGUACGCAUUAUGGGUGGAAAGAUCAUGUAUACCGACGUAUGUAGGACUGCUCGUCCGAUGUCGAGGGGUAGAUCGAUGGAGGUGCAGAGUAAUUUGCAUCCUAGAUAAAUGACAAGCUGACGGAGCUUGCUCCGUUUGAACAGAAUCCGGCUUAUUGCUUACCAACUUC
rnacentral:RNase_P_RNA from 1 species